UUGGCCGUCGUCGAGUGCGUGUGUGUGGAUGUUACGAGGGGAAAGAUAGCGUGACAAACUUUUAACGUUUAAACUACAUAAUGAAUGUGUUGUUCGGCCAUUUUAUGGACGUUAGUUCUUUUGUUCUCGAUAAACUUUUUCUUGGCGUAGAGAAGUUGGGCUGCUAUCGUGUGUUUAGUGCUGCGGUCCAGCGUUUUCUCUGUGGACACUCAAUGCACAGCGGAUGGCUCGCCCAGAAAAGACAAAACCGUAAGUUGUCAUAAUGGAGAAAUGUUUGGCUGUGCGGCCACGUUUAUGCACCUGUACGGACUUCUGGCCAACGGAGAAAGUUCUGUGUGUGACAGCACUUCAGUUUAUCCUGACCCAGGUUCUUCCAUGCUGUGGAGUUUGGCAGGAGUCAAGGGUCAUUUUGGUCCCUU